AUUGAACGCUGGCGGCAUGCUUUACACAUGCAAGUCGAACGGCAGCGCGGGCUUCGGCCUGGCGGCGAGUGGCGAACGGGUGAGUAAUGCAUCGGAACGUGCCCAGUAGUGGGGGAUAGCCCGGCGAAAGCCGGAUUAAUACCGCAUACGACCUGAGGGUGAAAGCGGGGGACCGAAAGGCCUCGCGCUAUUGGAGCGGCCGAUGUCGGAUUAGCUAGUUGGUGGGGUAAAGGCUUACCAAGGCGACGAUCCGUAGCUGGUCUGAGAGGACGACCAGCCACACUGGGACUGAGACACGGCCCAGACUCCUACGGGAGGCAGCAGUGGGGAAUUUUGGACAGUGGGGGCAACCCUGAUCCAGCCAUGCCGCGUGCGGGAAGAAGGCCUUCGGGUUGUAAACCGCUUUUGUUCGGGAAGAAAUCCUCUGGGCUAAUACCCCGGGGGAUGACGGUACCGGAAGAAUAAGCACCGGCUAACUACGUG
rnacentral:rRNA from 1 species